rnacentral:piRNA from 1 species
AAUUUGUUGGAAUUGUUUAUUAAUA